AUGCCCUUCUUCUUGGUUCCUGCAAGUACACAUUUGCAAUCCACUAAAGAGGGCUUUAUUUCUACAGUUAUCUCUGAGAGGGAUCUUGAUUUUGCCAAGGAUAUA